AAAGAAAGGAAAAGCAAGGAAGAAGUAGAAGAAGAAGAGAAUAGGAGAAGAAGAGGAAGGAGAAGGAAGGAAGGAGUUGCUGUCCCUCUCCUACUGCCCUGCUGUUAUAAAAUCGGUGUUGUACACAUAUCAAAAGGCUGACCAGGGGGGAUCUGAUACCAUGGGCUCAAAGGUCGGAAUUACAGCUAUGAUUGUGGCUCUGAUGGUCUAGGGCACAAUGUGACUGAGGGGGAGGACCGGUACCGUGGGCUUGGAGGUUAGAGGAUGUAUGUAUGUGUGAUGCGUGAUGUAUGAUGUGUGGUAAUGAUUGUAAUAUUGAUUAGUCUGAGGCACGGUGUGACUGAGGGGGAGGACCAAUGCUAUGGAUUCAGAGGUCAAUAUUACAGUGAUGGCCACUAUUGUAUGAUUUGAUGCUAUUAAUUGUGUGGUAGUGAUUGUAAUAUUGAUCGGUCUGAGGCACAAUGUGACUAGAGGGGGAGGACCGAUGGCAUGGCUUCAGAGGUCAAUAUUACAGUGAUGGGCACUAAUGUAUGAUUUGAUGCUAUGGAUUCUGUGGUAAUGAUUGUAACAUUGAUUGUUUUGACCCAUGGUGGCUGAGGGGGGAGGAUUCGGUAUCGUGUGCUCAGAGAUCGAUAUUACAGUGAUAGCCACUAAUGUCCAACUUGUUUGAGCAUACAUUGCAUCAUUUGUUUGCAUGUGCUUGCAUGUACACCUGUCACUGGGCUUGUGAAGCUCAACCCUCAUUGAUUACUAUUUAUUUUUAAUGGUGGAACUAGUGCUAAGGCAGGAUUGGAUUUCAAUGGCGGUUGUGAGGCUUGUGUCUACGAGACAUUAAGAUGCUGAUGGACAUCACUUCUGUUAUUUCAAUUAUCCCUUUUGAUGUAAGUAUUUGUAAAGCAUGUAAUAGGUAAUAUUGUAACUUGCAGUUGUUUUCAGAUAUGAAAAAUGUAUAAUACAAUUAUCAUUUA